rnacentral:rRNA from 1 species
UAGGGGGUUUGUUAAGUUCCAAGUAAAAUCUUAAGGCUCAACUUUAAGUUCGCUUGGAAAACUAAUAAACUGGAGUCCAGCAGAGGUGCAUGGAACUUGCGGUGUAGGAGUGAAAUCCGUUGAUAUCGCAAGGAACACCAAAGGCGAAGGCAUUGCACUGGGCUGGUACUGACCCUGAGAGACGAAAGCGUGGGGAGCAAAACGGAUUAGAUACCCGUGUAGUCCACGCCGUAAACGAUGGAUACUAGAUGUUCGGGGAUUCGACCCCCUGGGUGUCACAGCUAACGCGUUAAGUAUCCCGCCUGGGAAGUACGGCCGCAAGGCUAAAACUCAAAGGAAUAGACGGGGAUCCGCACAAGCGGUGGAGCGUCUGGUUUAAUUUGAUAGUAAGCAAUGGACCUCACCAAGGUUUGACAUCCUAUGACAACCCUGGAAACAGGGCUUCCUUCGGGCAUAGUGACAGGUGCUGCAUGGUCGUCGUCAGUUCGUGCCGUGAGGUGUUCCGUUAAGUCGGGAAACGAACGAAACCCUCGUCGCAUGUUACAAAUUUCAUGCGAGACUGCCCGGGUCAACCGGGAGGAAGGCGGGGAUGACGUCAGAUCAGCAUGGCCCUUAUACCUUGGGCUACACAGGCGCUACAAUGGCCGGUACAAAGGGUUGCAAAACCGCGAGGUGAAGCUAAUCCCAUAAAGCCGGUCCAAGUUCGGAUUGGAGGCUGCAACUCGCCUCCAUGAAGUUG